UGUUUUGUGGCUUAGUUGGUUAAAGCACCGGUAUAACGAUACGGAGUCUUGGGUUCAAAUACCACCAAUACAG
rnacentral:tRNA from 1 species